GCACUUCCUGCAUAUGCAGUGUUGAUAUGUCUGAUAUUCUUGGGUUGUGCAAAGUCAACCAGCAUCUCAGACGUAUCGGCCACUGUGUAUU